GACGAACCGUGCAAACGUUGUUCGGAAUCACUGGGCUUAAAGGGCGCGUAGGCGGGCGACCAAGUCAGAGGUGAAAGCCCACGGCUCAACCGUGGAAGUGCCCCUGAUACUGGUUGUCUUGAGGGAGAUAGGGGCGUGCGGAACUUCCGGUGGAGCGGUGAAAUGCGUAGAUAUCGGAAGGAACACCGGUGGCGAAAGCGGCGCGCUGGAUCUCUACUGACGCUGAGGCGCGAAAGCCAGGGGAG
rnacentral:rRNA from 1 species